AAUCACUCCCUAGCCGAUAAGGUACUGUUUCUGUUAAUUUUGAAUUUCGAUUUUGAAUUUCAGUUUUAUUUGAUGGAUCUAUUUUUGUUUGUUGCAGUUAGAUAAAGAUUUGCAGAGAGACAGAUGUAUUGUUGUUGAUGGCGAUGCUUCUUCGCUUCUUCUAGGACAUGCUCACGUGUGUGAGGGUUUUAGGGAAGUUUCUGAGGAUGUUUUUGGGGCCUAUUAAUGUUCGUGCAUCUCGGAAAGAUGUGCAGCUUAAGGUCAAAGACAUGCAUCUCGCCGUAUCCGUAGUUUCAAGAUAUCUAACUUUCAUGUAAUGGAGAUGUUAAGAUCCAAACUGGUACGCUGGGUGUUUUUAUAAAACCAGAAGGAGUUUGCGCCAGAGUUUCUAUUGGACAGGGCUUUUUCUUAUCACUUUUUAAGGACAACAAUAACCACCAUUCGAAAGAGGCCCUUCAUCAUGCUAAGUUUAAGUUCCCCGGUCGUCAAAAGAUAAUGGUAGUUCUUUCAUAAAGGAAAAAAUUCAGCUUAAGAGACGAACACACAUACAUUGAGAUUGAAGGAGCAGUAUUGGAAGAUGGUAAAGGUUUAAGCAACUAGGAGUAUUCAGUCAUACAAUAGGUUAAUUUUACUAAUUAUUUCAUUAUGUAACUUAGCUUAAUGUCGAAAAAUGAAUGAUAAUAAUUACAAUACAAUUGAAUGCAUGAUCUCCCACAAACUAUCCAAUGGUCAGCCACAUCUUACUCACAUACGCGGUUCAACCACCAAUCCUAUUUAGGUGGUGAAUGCGGGUCACUUUCAAGGUCAGCCUUCAUUCAACUAUAUCAGAAAUCCAGAACCACCCCAACUCCUUGUUGAUCUCAGAGUAGAACAGUACUAAAUAAAAAAAUAGGUUUAUAACUGCUGCUUUAUCAUUCAGCUACCUUUGGAAUGAUCAAAUGGCAUCACAAUUUGCCUUAGAGAUUAAGGUAUAUUGAGAGCCUCAACAGUCUGGAGAUUGGCAGGUGCUACUUGAAUGAACUCGACGAAUCUUGUUACAUUAGGAUUCGAAUUACGGCUACAACUUGAUUGGACUUGGUCCAGCAUUGGUAACAACAAAGGAUGCUGGAGAUGCAGUAGCUUUACUUCAGUCAUUAACCGGCUCCACUUAAAGCUACAUCAAAUUCUUGGAGAGGAAAGAGGAAGAUUCAGCUCAUGUGUACUUCUUUUUAUUUUCAAAUGUUCAGUUUCUAGGUAGAGUUUGUUUGGUGGUGCAAAUUGUAAGAGGAAAGAUAGAGUUAGUUUUGUCAAUGGAUUUUUGUUGUUUUUAAGUGUUUAAUUUAGCUCUUGUUUUGAAUCCCAUGGUUUUGAAUUUGGGAAGACAUCAAAACUUAAUUAUCUAUUUUUUAUCGAACUUAUUAGUG